rnacentral:rRNA from 1 species
ACACGCUGGCGGCGUGCUUAACACAUGCAAGUCGAACGGAGAAUUAUUUCGGUAAAUUCUUAGUGGCGAACGGUGAGUAACGCGUGGGCAACCUGCCCUUCAGAUGGGGACAACAUUCCGAAAGGGGUGCUAAUACCGAAUACGAUCACGCUGCCGCAUGGCGGUGUGAUGAAAGAUGGCCUCUAUUUAUAAGCUAUCGCUGAAGGAUGGGCCUGCGUCUGAUUAGCUAGUUGGUGGGGUAACGGCCUACCAAGGCGAUGAUCAGUAGCCGGUCUGAGAGGAUGAACGGCCACAUUGGGACUGAGACACGGCCCAAACUCCUACGGGAGGCAGCAGUGGGGAAUAUUCCGCAAUGGACGAAAGUCUGACGGAGCAACGCCGCGUGAGUGAUGAAGGUUUUCGGACUGUAAAACUCUGUUGUUUAGGACGAAAGUGCCUGUUGCAAAUAGUUGCAGGUAUUGACGGUACUGAACGAGGAAGCCACGGCUAACUACGUG